AACCAAACGUACAAGUAGCAGCGACGCUGACAGUGUACGUACUGAUCUCGGGCUCUCAAAGUUUUGAAGCUGGCCGUCCAUACACACAAGCUCGCGCUAUAUAUCCUUUGCUCUGUAAUGCAGCAAACUGAAAAGAGAAAAAAGCUACGCCUACGUCAUUCCCGUGGUGAGCCCCAUGGCUCUCGCCUCCCCAUGCUUGUCUUAGCUACUCUCACGCGUCCGCAGCAACACAGACGAAGUCACAUAUGUCGGCCGACACACCCGCUCUUAUGUAGUAGAUGCUAUUUUAGCUCGGCACGGGGUCGAAUGAUGCGCGUCACACCACCUAGAGCCUGAACGAAAGAGCGUGAACUCGUAUUAGCUCGCUUCUUUGCUUUCGUCUCGUUUUUAUCUGCGCCAGACACUGUUGCCCUACGUUUCCAACCCUCCCUAUGCAACCAAAUAGCAUCUGGCUUCCCGUUCUAUAUACGUAUAUGUCAUUGUGUGCGGUUGCCGAGCCAAUAUUCUGACGAGUGUAAGACAAUACUAAAUAUUGUUUGUACUUUUCCUGAUCUUUUUCAAAGGCGAAUAACGACGCGUUGCCAAAGACUUAUGUUUUUGUCUUAAUAAAGAGCCACUUGAUAUAGUAACAGA